UUUAAAACCACGACAGGAAGUUAUCCUUGAAAACUGUAAGAACACACUUUGUGACCAAAGAUUGCUUUAGACCUCCUAUGAUUUCCAUAAAAUGGUUUCACAUGCUUUUAAGAUCAAGGCAGUGUGUUAUUACAAUAAAAUUAAAAAAAAAUUCAACCAAGUAAUAAAAAUAAAAAUAAAGUAAAUAACUUUUUGAGUGAAUGAAAUAUGGUUGGUAAGAAGAGGCAUGACAGGUUUAAACUUUUCCCCUGCUCCCACUCCCUCUUAGUUCUUCUGGCUGCUCUGUUUUAACAGGCUUGUCCCUUCCAUUGUCAAUUCAGUGCCUCUGUCCCUUAUAUGAAGUUUUGUGCUGCAACCCUUGGUCCUGCUGCAUCUUGUAAUCCCUCUGGCCUUCUUUCACUAAUCUUGCCUUGUGUCUGCCAAGCACAGUCUUUUACAACCCUCUUCAAGUUGUCCACCUAAUUCUUAGAAGAACAAUGAAAUGUAGAAAAAAAUAGAAGAAAAUAAUAAUCUUGUCUGUCACACAAGGUUUAGACAUAAAUCCAGUUUCUCUUGUUAUGAACUUCUUCUGUGAAGAAAAGCUUGUAAGAGGGCAUGGCAUAGUUCCAUGGAGAAGGAGAAAGGAUAUUAAACUACCAUCUUGAUUUGUGGGCAGAAAAAGGAGCUUGGAUUUGAGGAAGAUUUGCCUAUGCUGUUGGACAGCUGAGAUUCUUGAACUUGAAAGAGAACAUCAAGUGCAUUUUGUACCAGAGCCCAACUGUGUUGGACAACUACAGCUGAAGAAGUUGCAUGCCAGAAGCUGAAUGGAAGCUGGAAAGAGCAUUAAAGUGUCCUUCUGGCUUUAUUUCAACAUCUUUGCCAGAUCCUGAUGUUGGGUGGAACCUGGAAAGUAUUCACAUAAAACAAUUGGGAAAAUACCAUGGAUAGUACUAAUUUGGUAUUUAACAAACUUGAGACAGUCUUAAAACUUAGAGUAACCUUCUACAGUGGUUUAUUUGUUUGAUGCGGUUACUCAUUGAUAAUGAGUAUAUUUUUUAUUUUAUUUUUAUUUUUUAUUUUUGGCAUAGGAAAUAUGAAAGUCUGGAACUGAAUUCUACUUUUUAAUGCUUGAAGUCUUCAGGAUCAGAUGCAUUAGUUAAAAAACAAAUUAACAGCUCACCCUCACCCCUUCAACCUCCACCCCCAAUUAAACUAAACUAAAGUCCUUAAACAAAAGAGCCCUAAACUUUUUGACUGCAAUUACAACUGCUACGAGGCCAGGGGUGGGGGGGAACUGCAUCUGUGUCCUAGCACUCGUGCUCUUGUCUCAGUUUUUUUUGGUACACUGCUCUUAUUCUAAGCAUAGUAAAUUCACCCUGCAAAAGAAGCUCUCUCUUACGGUUCAGAGCGAGGUGUGGUGCCUUGUGUCAGUGUGGUGUCAUUGGUGUCUGCCGCUGGCUUUGCUGCCUCCUUCCUGUGUGAUCUGAGCAAGGCACUCUGACUCUUCAGAGGUGUCCAGCUGAGUGGGAUUCAGCUUCUCCAUGGCCUGGAGACCUCCUGCUUCUCUGUUCUAGCACAGCUAUUGCUUCUGCCUUUUUGGUGAAUUCAUCCCUUCACAGGCUUCUAAUUCCUUCUGGUUUCAUUUUUCCUAGCCUUGCAUUAUCUAUCUGUUGAUCCUUUCUCUAGAAGGAAUCUUUUCCUCUCUAUUUGAAUGUUAAGUUUUAUUGUAAGCCCAACACCACCUUCCAGUAUCUUUAGUGAAUGGUGUAAUAAUGGUAUAAUCAUGUCUUAAUGGAGUUGAAUUAAAAGACAUCUCUGCCUAAACCGAUGCAGAGAAUAAAUGACUGUACUAUUUCUGACUCCUCAAUGGAUAAGUUUUUACUUUUCUAGACUCAAAUUUACAAGGCUAUCUAGUGUGAAUCUGUUCUGAAUAUCAUAUCAGUACCUAGACAUAGGUCUUCCCUGGCUCAUGUUGGAAUUUGGGCCUCAUGUUUAAGCAGAGAAAAUCAUAAACAACAUGAUGGAAAUUCAGAGCCAUCUCCAAAAGUGUCACUGUGUAACAAUGCAAUGGGGGUGAUCAGAGCAAAAGUAGAACCCUACCACACAAACACAUUUAAGUGUGGUAAAUGGUUCUUAACUUUCCUUAAUGGUUGAACUGAAUGAGAGAGAAAUAGAGGAAAAAAAGUCAUUUACUGAUGGUGCAUAGCAAGUGGUUGAAGGCCAGAAUUAAUCCCAGAUACUUUGCUUUCUAAUCUGUUGGCCUAAUAAAUAUUACUUCAUGGUAUUCAUAAAGGACAUGAAGAGUAGAUGAAAGGAUCAGAAAGAUUAUCAGAUACUGAGGUGCUCUUCAGAAAUUUGAUGACACUAUCUAUGGCCCCAGAAAGUCCUAGAUCUUGUUGUCAGUGUUUGAGACAAGGCAGAUAAUCCUCGCUAUUUUUAACUUGUUAUGGAUCCCAAGAGCAGUAAUAAUUACAAUCCUGCUUUCUCAGACAAAAUUUCCACUGAAGUUCCUUUUAGUGAAGACCAGAGGAUAGGACACCUUUUGUGUUUAAACUCAACACUAAAAAAUCUCCCUCUCUAAUCUCUGAUGUGGACUUCAGAGUUGUUUCUAACAGGUUUUCCUUUUAAUAACAUACUUGCAUCAGAAUGGCAACUGUGGUUGGAUAUUCCAUUGUAUUAAUGAAAGAUUAAAUCAGAGCAUGGACCUCAGUGAAGCGUUUUGCAUCACUGGCAAUUCAGCAAAUAAUAAUUUUUAUUUCCAUUCAGUCCCGAUCGAACUGUUGGAAUAAACUGUGCUCUUUUUGUUGGAAUGGACUUUGAAUAAAGACACCCAAAUAACCAAUAGUAAACUUUACUUAAAAAAAAAUCUGUCAGUGGUUUGUGUUUUAAAAAUAUUGUAAAAAUAAUCUCUAUCUGCAGUCAAAAGAACUGCACUCAGAUGUAUCACAAGAACAAUUUGCCAAACAAUCAGCUGAAGCAGGAGGUUCCAAUUUUUCAUAGCUUCAAGGGCUCCUGGCAGAGAGGAAAGCUGUGUUAUACACAUGCUGACAAGUACAAGAUAAGCAAGCACUUGCUGCAAUGUUUUUGGUUUAAUUACCCUGCAGUGUCUAAUUGUGAUUCCCCCCUUGGGAGUCAAUACUGGGGACACAAGUUUAAGUCAGGCUCUUAUACCUUUUAAAUAAUUGCACAUUUUGGCAGAAAAAAUAGGACCUGGUUUAAAAGGGGUGAAAACUACAAUGACAGUAAAACUCAAAAGAAACAUAUCUCUUUAAACCAAUGUCCAGUUCUAUGAUGAACAAAAUUCCAAAAUCAAAGUACCUCUUUUCAAAGUGAGUUAGAACUGCUUAGGCAUUAAACAAUUAUAUGUUGUUUGUAUAAUAGACAGCUAAACAGAUCUCCUUGGUACCUGCUUUAAUACACAUAAGCACAGUGAAAGGAAUCUAUAGUAGGGUUUGAAAAAUGCAGAUUUCUAUUAAUGUAAAUUCUGCUUGAUGUCCUGUGGGAUUGAGGCAGAUUCUGUAAUGUUUUGAUGUUUUCUUCUUUGUUCCACUGAUGAAGUCAUAUGAGGAAAUGUUACCCCUCUGGUAAAGUGGUUAUAGUUUUCUGCUCUUGGACAUCAAGAAGUUGAUCUUGUGGCACAAGGAAAAGAAAUGCAUUCACUUUAUGAUGUGCUAAUAUGGUAGAUAUUUACCCUUGAGGGUGGGUGACAUCACAUUUGUGUUAGUAAUAUAUAAUUGUAUUCUCUCUGCCUUUGGAAAAUACUGCUGAUAUUUCUUUCAGUUCCAGUUUCCAUGUUUUCACUGUCAGUGUUUAAAAAGGCCUUUUAAUCUUACGCUACUUUUAAUAUUUUAAUUAUUAUUGAUAUUUUGCAAUAAUAAUACUUUAAUUUCUCUCCCAUUUAAUUUUAUUUUUCUAGUAGUCUAACUGUAGAGGUAACAGCUGUGGCUUUUUACAUUACUAACAGCAGAGGACCACCUCUUUGGCCCUUGACAUGAUGUAACUUUAUGCCAUGCUUUCCUGCUUUGCUCUCAGAGAAAGAAAUCUUUGGGGACCAAGCUCAAGCUGUUUGUUUCGCUUUGUUUUGUUAUAUUUAAUUUUUCCACAACUAAUAGAUUAGGGCCAUGUUCUCAGCAGGUCUUCCAGGCACUGUUGCAAUAUACUUACGUAAUAACAUUAACUCUAUUUAUUAAUUCCUUCUUCCAGUUUACUGUUGGUGUUAUCAAUUACUUUUUAUACUAUAUUUUUAUACUAUAUUUUAUACUAUAUUUAUACUUUUUAUACUAUACUGAGUUACCUACCAUUUCCCUUCCAUAUUUAUUUUGAGAUUUACAAAUCAAUUUACAAAUUUUUUUUGUAAAUUAUAUCUGCUUU